UGCUGCAGGGACAGACGAGGUCACUGCGCUGAGGGCGCAGCCAAGGCAGCAGCUGCGGCGGCUGCGUUAGCGCCUGCAGGAGGGGGUGGGGGAGGAGAGGCGGCGGGAGGGAGCACCCCCUCCCCCCCAGACACACGCGGAGAGAGACAGGGUCAAGGACGGAUUCGGCAGGAGACAUUCACAGCGAGAGAGACAGAUGCGCCCACACUCAGACACACAGACACCCACAGCCCGGGGAAACAGCCACCCAGCGUCAGGCUGGGGACCCACCGGCAGUUAGACACACAGGCAGACAGCAGACAGCCAGGGAACAGCGCCCGGGGGAGAGGAAAGCAGCGACUGCUCUGUCUCCAGCGGCGCACAUCUGCGGAAGCCUCCAGGAGGACGGCGAUGGGCGAGUGUGCAUGGGGGUCGGGCAGCGAGGCCGGGGGAAGGGGCUGCCGUCCAGGACGCCAGGCGCUGGCACAGGCGGGCGCCCCCGUGGCGUCCUGAUGGUGCGAGGACCCAGCCCUUUCCCGGGCCCCAGGAGGUACUUAGGAAACUUUGGGAAGUGGGGGAGGCAGGUGCCCUCUAACCCUUCCCCGGAGCUGGUUGCUGCAGGAGACCCCAGGCCUUGGCCCCCCGGGACCCACUGUUCACGGCUUCUCGCAGCUCAUCCUCCCCGAAGCCCUCCCUGCGCACCUGGCUGUACCCCUCCCCUCCAGAAGUGAGCCCGCUCCCCCUCACAGGCUCCCAGCCGACCCCGACCACACCCCAGUGAGCCUGGUGGGCAGCGCAGUGCAGGACCGGGCAGCUAGCUGGUGGGGACACAAGCCGUGUGGAGAGUUUCUGGAGCAGCCGGGCACCGCUGGACCCCAUGGCUCCCAUCAGCCAGGUUCUCCUGCACCUUCGGUCCUGGGUCAGGACUCAGUGUCCCCCACACUCAGCCGGCAGCUCCCUGCUGAGUGGACCCCCCCAGCCCUGUUCUUCCCCAACCACUCAAGGCAGGCUCUGGCCCGAGCGCUGUGUGGAUGCCCUCACCCCUGGCCUUGGGAGAUGGCAUUUGGUGGGGGUGCUGACGGGGGGCUCUGGCCCUCUCUCACUAGCUGGGACCUCCUUUCCAGCCUCGGUGUCCCCAUCUUGGAAUGGGGACUGUGUGUUGCUUAUCGUACAAGAUGGAGGGCCAGGCCAAGGGCAAGUGUGCAUAGAGAGCAGCCCCUCUGAAGUCUCUGUGAACCUGGCCACGGUUGUCCUUGUGGCCGGCAGUAUUCUAGAGCCUUCCCUGGAGGUCUUUGGUCCCACAGCAGCUGGAGGGCGCAUGGACUCAGUUCAGACCCUGGCACCGGGGGGCCAGCUGUAUCACCCAAAAGAGUUAUGUUUUUCUGAGUGUGGAGAUCUUCCUUGGUAAGUUGAGGCCAUCAGGAGACAGAAGGCCAGGGGGACCAAGUUUGAGGGUGACCAUGGCCAAGGCUGGUGAGCGCCUCCUACUGGCAUUUACAUGCAUGACCUCACUAACUCCCAUCUGCCCUCAAAGGUGGGUAGGCUCGGAGGUCCCUUUGUAGAGCAGAGAAGCCACCUACCCAAGGUCACAUGAGGCCACAGGCCCCUCACUCAAUGGCCACACUCUUGGUCCAGCUCUAAGGUCAAGGCCCCUGAGGUCAGCCUUGACGUUGGCUGGACACAUGCCUGAUGUCCCCUGAGCUGGGCCCAACUUGGCCAAGGCAGUUUGGGGUGAAUGAGGCAGGUCACCGUAUGGCUAUCACAGGAUAUCUUGCCGUGGGGGCUCUAUCCCAAGAAGUGAGUACCCGGGUGCCUGGAUGGCGGAGAACUUCCAAGACGCUGGGAAAGGCUGGCAAGGGCUGGGGACAAGCGUGCCCCUACUCCGGGCUCACCAAGGCCCUCGCAGAGUGGCUCGGGGCCCCAGUAUCCAUAUUUGUUGAAACAGCUGGCGUUUGACGUGCCCGAUGUCCACUCCAAUGAAGAGACCAUUGAGCAAACGCCGCAUCCACGCAAACUCCAGGCAGAUUAGCAAAACCAGAUCCCCUGCAAACCCCUCACAUAGGAGGUAGUUCACCCACUGAUGGGCUGACUUGUUCAUUCAUCCACUCGACAAGGUUUGGCUGAGCACCUAGGAGAUAUCAGGCACUAUACCAAGCUGUCCUAAUGGAGGGAGGCCGGCCCCACACAGGAUGCUCAUGCGUGCGUCCGACAGUUGUCAGAAAUGAAGCAGGGCGGGGAUGGAGAGUGUUGCACCACCAGCCCUGGGGGUGCCACCCAGCUCUCCUUUCGAGAGAGUGUGGUGCAGGGGCAAUACUGUUUGGAUCCGCUGCUGACUCGGAGCUGAGGUGAGGCCCACGCCUUCCUGAUGGGUGGGGCUUCCCGGCAGCGGGUGGGACGUGUUGUGUGAGCCAGAACAUGGCCCAGAUGAGAACAUCUAGAUUCGGUGGCCGUGCCCAAAUCGGAGGCUGGCUGGGGACCUGACCCAUAAGGGCCAGAGGUGGAGACAAGGGCUCUGGGCUGCAGCCAUGGGGAUGGUCGAGUGACUGUGGGCCCCGAUGUGAAGGGUCUUGUAUCCCCAGAAGUGGCGUGACAGCACCGAGUGGUCACAUCAGAGGCCAUGUGUGGGCCAGGAGCAUGGACUCCCGUCAGUCCAGGACCACCCGGCUCCUGCCACCUCCCAAUGUGUGACCUGCCAGCAACAGAGACCGAGGCUGAGCCCCCAAAUAGCACGUUCUUUGUGGAUUACAAAUUGGCACCUGGCGGCGGGCGGGCUACAUUGGGCCCCCUCUGCACUGAAGGGUCUUCACAAACCUGCCCAGGUGUGGGCUUGUCCCCAUGAUCCAGGGCCUCACACAAGCCCGGUCCAGGCAAGGGAAGCCCGCCCAGCAUGGCACCAGCCCAGGACCACCUCCCAGCCCGGGCCCCACUGGCUGCAUUGCGCGCUGCACCAUCGCUUCACAGGGCACGGGGACAGCAGGGCAAUGCCCGCGAGGAUGGGCGCCGCCCCCAGGACACAGCCUAGUGCAUUGGAGGGUUUUACACGGCGCUGGGUUCCCAACGGGAGAAGAAUGAGUGCGUGGACCCAGGGGCCCCCUGAGGAAUUCGUGCCCCCCAGGCUCUGCGGGGUUCCAGGUCCCUCCCCCAAGGGCCCACUCUCAGCGGCAGACACGUGGAGAGCCCACUGGACUCAGCGUCCACUGCCCGGGGAGCAGCAGACGGUCGGCAGGAGGACCUGGGGCUGCUGGUACUCCGAGCUGCAGGGGGGACACGUGUGGAAUUCAGGGCCCUCUGGUGCCGUGGUGCCCCCCGCGGGCCUGCAAUGUGCCCGCACGGAGCCGCCACCCGGCCUAAGAAGGCAGUGACCAGGGCUCAGCCCCUCCGGAAUGAGGAUCGGGUCACACCCCCAGGCGGCCCCCAAGACCUGCAGAGGUGACAGCAGAGGGUCAACACAGGCCAGGUUCCAACUGGGAGAGGGCGGCCAGUGAGUCUCCACCGAGAAGGGCACACCAGGCGGUGUCUCCCUGAGAUCUCGCCCCGCUCAGGCUGCCGUCCUGUGCGCUCAUUCACUCCGCGGGACCGAGGAGGGGCUGCCCACAGAAGCCCAGAAGGAGCCCCACUGGCCUGGCCCCGGGCAGCGUCGGCGGUAGCGCCUGACCUCGCAGCAGCUUGGGUCGGCACAGUUGGAACCCCGCCCCUGUGGACG